GUAGAUUUGGGGGGCCAACAGAAAUGUCCAAUUUACCAUAUCUCUUUUUUCCCAAAGGAUAAGUUAUUUUCCUGUCUUUUAUACUAUCUGCAAGGUUAAGAAUUGUCUCCUGCUUUCUGAUUUUAGGACUAAAUGCUAAGGAAUAACAAUUGGCCACUUUCUUUCUAUUUCCAUGAAAAGAUUCAUUAGAAAUGGAUUUCAAAGUAGUGGUAACAAGUGGAUUCUGAAGUCAGACUGCUUGUGCUCAAAUCCUGAUUCUACAGCUUUCUAGGUGGAUGCUUAAAUGUCUGUUGAGGCAGCAGAGAAGGGCAAAGCUGAGCUGCUGGCUGGGUCUCUCUAUUGAGGCUGUGCUGGAGAAAGAGGUAGAGAAGAGAUGAGCCAGGAAGAUAACUUCUGAUCAGACUUCUUAAUGAGAGUCUCUCAUCCUGUAGGAGGCUAGCCUGGACUUCCUCAGAGCAUGGUCAUCUCAGACUCCAGAAGUAUGAAGAUAUAAGAUACAAGGCCCCAUGAUCUUGGCUUUGGAAGUUAUACAACAUCACUUCCACCACAUUCUAUGGGUCAAGCAAGUCACAUGUCCAGCCUAGAUUCAAUAAAUGGGGGAAAAGACUUUACUUUUAUAUGGGAGGAGCUUCAAAGUACUGUGGUAAUAAUUUUCAAUCUACUACAAAUUGUCACCAGGAAGGAGAAUUUUGAUAUGUUUAUACAUACACUUGCUAUAACUGCAUAGACCUGGGUCUCUGGAGUUCGCAGA